GGAGGGUGCAAGCGUUAUCCGGAUUCACUGGGUUUAAAGGGUGCGUAGGUGGGCAAGUAAGUCAGUGGUGAAAUCUCCGGGCUUAACCCGGAAACUGCCAUUGAUACUAUUUGUCUUGAAUACUGUGGAGGUCAGCGGAAUAUGUCAUGUAGCGGUGAAAUGCUUAGAUAUGACAUAGAACACCAAUUGCGAAGGCAGCUGGCUACACAAAUAUUGACACUGAGGCACGAAAGCGUGGGGAUCAAACAGGAUUAGAUACCCUGGUAGUCCACGCCCUAAACUAUGGAUACUCGACAUUUGCGAUAAACUGCAAGUGUYUGAGSGRAMGCAUUAAGUAUCCCACCUGGGAAGUACGAUC
rnacentral:rRNA from 1 species